UUACAGCAGACUAAAUUUUUCCAGGAAUUAGCCACGUCCUAUUUUUCUAUUUUUACAGUUAAUAGUGUACACUGACACCAAAUUUGUUCUUUUAUUCAAUCAUGAAAUGAUUUGUUUGGCCAUCGAUUUCAAAUCAACUAAAUAAGGAAUUUUAAAGUUGAAAAAACUUGUUUAAGGAGUAUUUCGAGUGAAGUAAUGGUUUCACUCACGA
rnacentral:lncRNA from 1 species